CGGCCUGCGCCAGGCCUCCGCUCGGUCCGCGCCCCUGGCGAGCCCCGGCUACUAGGAGAGGCUGGGCCGCCUCCAGCGCGGGCUGCGGGACAGGUACGGCCUACCCGAGGCGGGGGCGGGAAUCGGCCGGCGCCCAGGGUCGGCUGGUGCCCUGCCCUCUGUCCUUCCCACUCGCCCCGCCCGUGGUUCCCCUGGGCCUGGGUCCGCCCGCGACGGCCCCCAAGCUCCCACUGGGGCCUGGAGGACAGAGUUUACCGGAGAGACCCCCUUGUUGGAGAUCUCCCGCUGGAGGACGCGGCCGCGUCGCUGAAUUUGCCCGGAAGGGGGAGUAGGAGUUCUCCUGCCUGUCACUCUCAGUCAAGCCUCGUGAAUUUCUCUCGUUCCCUCUACACGCCCCCUCCGCAGUCUCUUCAAAUUGUCAUCCCACCCUGACAGCUGCACUGCAUCAGUGGUGACAGGUCCAGGAACGCAGGCAGUGAAAAGAAGAGAUUGGACCUGGAAAAGAAACUUUAUGAACAUAAUCAAUCUGACAUAUGCAGCCUCUCAUUAAAAUCAAAUUCCACUGGGAGAAAUUACACACUUGCACCGUGAUUGGGAAGAACAGGCCGCGUUCACUCAACCACUGAUGGAACUGGAGGGUCAUCAGACGAGGUGAGAAAACCCAUGCUUGUUGGAGACCAAACUCCAGGCGGGUGGCAGAGGCAGGAGCUCUUUUCAGCGUAAUGCUUUUCCCCACCCAGCACCUUCUCCUUUCCACUGCCGUAUCCAGAUGGAAAGAACUCAUGGUGAGGUUUGUGGGUCUACAGGCCUGGAUCACACCUUGCUCCUGAGUUUAGCCCAGGGGUGUCCCAGUCUGAGUGAGCAGUUUUCGCUUGUCCCCAUAUCCCUAGCCGGCUGCCUGCCACUGGCUAACCUAGGAUCCUGUGGUGUGUGCGCCCAUGUUGGGGGACGCACCUGAGAAGGCCCGCCAUGCUGGAGGAGGGUCAUGGGCACCCCUCCCUCCAAGGGCCCUGGCUCCUGGCAAGAAGGUCUCAGCUGAUGUCUGGAAC